rnacentral:rRNA from 1 species
GCGGCGGACGGGUGAGUAAUGCUUAGGAAUCUGCCAUUUAGUGGGGGACAACAUUCCGAAAGGAAUGCUAAUACCGCAUACGUCCUACGGGAGAAAGCAGGGGAUCUUCGGACCUUGCGCUAAAUGAUGAGCCUAAGUCGGAUUAGCUAGUUGGUGGGGUAAAGGCCUACCAAGGCGACGAUCUGUAGCGGGUCUGAGAGGAUGAUCCGCCACACUGGGACCGAGACACGGCCCAGACUCCUACGGGAGGCAGCAGUGGGGAAUAUUGGACAAUGGGCGGAAGCCUGAUCCAGCCAUGCCGCGUGUGUGAAGAAGGCCUUUUGGUUGUAAAGCACUUUAAGCGAGGAGGAGGCUACUAGUACUAAUACUACUGGAUAGUGGACGUUACUCGCAGAAUAAGCACCGGCUAACUCUGUGCCAGCAGCCGUGGUAAUACAGAGGGUGCGAGCGUUAAUCGGAUUUACUGGGCGUAAAGCGUGCGUAGGCGGCUUUUUAAGUCGGAUGUGAAAUCCCCGAGCUUAACUUGGGAAUUGCAUUCGAUACUGGGAAGCUAGAGUAUGGGAGAGGAUGGUAGAAUUCCAGGUGUAGCGGUGAAAUGCGUAGAGAUCUGGAGGAAUACCGAUGGCGAAGGCAGCCAUCUGGCCUAAUACUGACGCUGAGGUACGAAAGCAUGGGGAGCAAACAGGAUUAGAUACCCUGGUAGUCCAUGCCGUAAACGAUGCCUACUAGCCGUUGGGGCCUUUGAGGCUUUAGUGGCGCAGCUAACGCGAUAAGUAGACCGCCUGGGGAGUACGGUCGCAAGACUAAAACUCAAAUGAAUUGACGGGGGCCCGCACAAGCGGUGGAGCAUGUGGUUUAAUUCGAUGCAACGCGAAGAACCUUACCUGGUCUUGACAUAGUAAGAACUUUCCAGAGAUGGAUUGGUGCCUUCGGGAACUUACAUACAGGUGCUGCAUGGCUGUCGUCAGCUCGUGUCGUGAGAUGUUGGGUUAAGUCCCGCAACGAGCGCAACCCUUUUCCUUAUUUGCCAGCGGGUUAAGCCGGGAACUUUAAGGAUACUGCCAGUGACAAACUGGAGGAAGGCGGGGACGACGUCAAGUCAUCAUGGCCCUUACGACCAGGGCUACACACGUGCUACAAUGGUCGGUACAAAGGGUUGCUACCUAGCGAUAGGAUGCUAAUCUCAAAAAGCCGAUCGUAGUCCGGAUUGGAGUCUGCAACUCGAC